GGUCAAAAAUGUAUGACUCUAGAACUUUUAGACCCUGAGGCAUGUGAUACCUUUUCGGAAAGCCCAAAGAGAGCUCUCCGAUGAAUAAGGAAGGAAAAUGGAAUUCUUCUAUAGUUUUUUUUUUCUACUCCAAAGUUUGACCUUAAUGUACUUUUUCGGGUCUUUUGUAAUCUUUGCUAUAUUACAGGGCGAAAAUUAUAUGUUCGGACAUUGUAUUCGAAUGUUUUGCAUGUAUCAAAGCUCUUAUAAACAAGAUAGGGUAUUCCUACAUAGCUGGUGGGACCCACGCCAAAUCGAUCAUAAAGUUUUCAAAAAAGAAUAGAUACGAUUGCAUUGCAUGUAGUUACGGAUGCGAUCAUACCAGCACUAAUGCAUCAGAUCCCAUCAGAACUCCGCAGUUAAGCGUGCUUGGGCGAGAGUAGUACUAGGGUGGGUGACCUCCAGGAAAGUCCUCGUGUGUCAUCCCUCUUUUUUUUUGGUUUUUCUCUUUUUUUUUGUUAAAAAUGUAUGACUCUAUAACAGACUGUGAGGCCAAACUUGACAUGUGAUACCUUUUCGGAAAGCCCAAAGAGAGCUCUCCGAUGAAUGAGGAAGGAAAAUGGAAUUUUUCUAUUGUUUUUUUUCCUACUCCAAAUUUUGAUUUUAAUGUACUUUUUCGAGCCUUUUCGUUAUCUUUGCUAUAUUACAGGGCGAAAAUUAUAUGUUCGGACAUUAG
rnacentral:sRNA from 1 species